GUCUUUUACAUUUGAAAAAAACUGAUUGAUAUUCCUCAAAUUCCUUACCUUAAACAUUCAUACUUGAGUAGUACAGUCUACCGCCAUUCCUCCACCGCCGUGCCACCACCUCUAUUUCGGUCACCAGACUCACCGUUGUUCCUCCACCUCUGUUUUUAGAAGAGAUGGCUUUACAAAAUGCCCUAGUUCUGUUGUUCCCCAAUUCUGGUAGCUUUUUAUCAAGCCCACAACAAAAGAGAACCUUUGUUCCAGUUAUUAGGAUGGAGUGCAGAUCUCACCUUUCUUCGUCGAAUCUUCGUGCUCUUUCUCUACUGCGCUGUGAUUUCAGAAAAUGGAGAUGUGGAAGUGCCAGAAAUGCGGAGAAAGUGAAGUUUGAUGAUGAGGAUGGUCCCAUGGAUGAAGAAGAGAGGCGUGAGUGGAGGAAAAAGAUAUGGGAAGUCAUUGAUAAGAACCCAGAUGUUCAAGAAGAGCUUGAUCCUGAGGAGAAGCAGAAGAAGAUGCAGAAGCUUUUAGCUGAGUAUCCCCUUGUUGUGGAGGAGGAAGAUCCUGAUUGGCCUGAGGAUGCUGAUGGACGGGGCUUUAGUUUGGAUCAAUUUUUUAAUAAGAUUACCAUCAAGAAUGUGAAGAAAGAUGAUGAUGAUGAUGAGAAUUAUGAUAGUGACAAGGAAAUUGUGUGGCAGGAUGAUGAUUACCUUCGCCCAAUUAAAAACAUUACCACUUCAGAAUGGGAGGAGACGGUGUUCAAGGAUAUCAGUCCUCUAAUUAUUUUAGUGCACAACCGCUAUAAAAGACCAAAAGAGAAUGAAAGAUGUCGAGAUGAAUUGGAGAAAGCUGUAAAUAUUAUCUGGAACUGCAGGCUACCAUCGCCUAGGUGUGUAGCAAUAGAUGCAGUUGUUGAUUGUGAUUUAGUUUCUGCUUUAAAGGUGUCCAUCUUCCCAGAGCUCAUCUUCACAAAAGCUGGGAAGAUAUUAUAUCGUGAGAAAGUUAUAAGACCAGCCGAUGAGUUAUCUAAGAUCAUGGCAUUCUUUUACUAUGGUGCGGCAAAGCCACCUUUCUUCAACAUUAUGGAAAACAUUGAUGAAGCAAUUCCAUCAGCUCCAAUGAGCAAUGAAUCUUAGUGAGAAACACUGCUAUUCAGGAAUUAUAAGGUAUUUAGGAAUGCUACUCCAAGUCUUUCAAAUAUUAUUACUCCAUCCAUGCAGCGAAUGAAAGGAAAAUACCUCAAUUCUAUUUCCUUUCUAAAGGUUUUGUUGGUGUUUAACCCGGCAAUUGCAAAACUGAACCCGAGCCUCAUCUUCAUAUAACUCCAGAUAGAUGCUGCUUGGUUUAAGCACACAACAAUAGCGAGGUUUGCUUGGACUUUGGAGGAGGUGAUUAUGAUUUAUGGGGUUGUAACUUGGGCUCACACAACAACUUGAGAUGGUUAUAAUCGUUACAGAUUGUGCUAAUCUUAUUACUCCUUUACAGGUGCAUCUAUCAGCUACAAUCUCUGUCAAAUGGACUCUUCUUCAAAUUAUAAGUGUAGCUAGGACUUUAGAUUCCUGCUUCCUUAGUGAAUCGUAAUUGGAUUCUUUUAUUACGUGUAUCAGCCGUUUUAGGAGGACAAAUAUCUUCAUAUCAUAAUGGAUGAGCGAAUUAUUGGGACGAGCUAGAUUUGAACAAAGCUUGUAUUUUGACAAAGCAAUGUGCUGAAACUUGUCCAGAUUCACUUUUACCAUUAGUUGUGUUUA